rnacentral:rRNA from 1 species
AUGACUUCGCCGCCGGCGUCUGGGAGGUCGGAGCACGCCGCUGCCGCCGGGCAAUUCCACGUGCUCAACUCCAGCAGCGGCGGCGGCGGCUCUGACGCUGGGCAGCCCAACGGCGCGGCGUAUCGGCAGCUGCCUUCUCCACGGGCCGCUGCACCCGCGAACGGCGCGGCGUACCGGCAGCUGCCGUCUCCACGAGCCGCCUCUCCUGCCAACGGCGUCGCGCAAGGUAACGGCGUGACGGCGUAUCGGCAGCUCCCGUCUCCGCGAGCCGCCGCUCCAGUGAACGGCGUCGCACAAGCGAACGGCGCGACGGCGUUUCGGCAGUUUCCGUCUCCGCGCGCCACCGCUCCGGCGAAAGGCGUCGCACAGGCAAGUGGUCGGCAACUUCCGUCUCCGCGAGCCGCCGCUCCGGCGAAAGGAGUCGCACAAGCAAGCGGUCCGCAGCUUCCGUCUCCGCGAGCCGCCGCUCCAGCGAACGGCGCCGCACAAGCAAGCGGUACGACGGCGUAUCGGCAGCUUCCGUCCCCGCGAGCCACCGCUCCAGCGAACGGCGUCGCGCAAGGGAACGGCAUGGCGGCGUAUCGGCAGUUGCCGUCUCCACGAGCGACCGCCGCAACGAAUGGCGCGACGGCGUAUCGGCAGCUGCCGUCUCCACGGGCCGACGCCACGGCAUUGUGGCGUUCGACGCCGGUGCGCGCCAUGACCACCUACGGCCCUCCGGCCACCGGGGCCGCCCCGCCGGUGCCCAUAGCCAUGCGGGCUCCGUCCACGCAGUCGAUGCCGUCGCCGCACCUGCUGCAGCAGCUCAUGGUCUUGGCGGGGUGGGGCGCUUCUUCCAGACCGCCGUGGCUGCAGAGCUACGUGCAGGGCACGCCGCCGCCGUUCUCCACCUCCGGGAGAGGCCGUGGGAUGCAACCACCUUUCGCAUCUUCACGGAUACCACGGAUACCGGGGGCCAGCGGCAGCGGCACCGCCGUAGCCGUGCAGAGAGACGCCGGCGGCGACCAUCUUCCCAAGCAUACUGGCGCUGGCCGCGGCAAACCGGCGAGCGAGAGGUCGCUCCAGAUCGUCCCUGCUGACGACGGUGCCGGGGCCAGCAAGAACGUGCCACCGAUCGGCGGCAACGGCGACGGGGCCGGCAAGAACGUGACGCCGGCCGCCGGCGGCAACGGCGAUACCGCCGUGCCGCUUCUGGGCCCUGUGCUCGCUAUUCCGUCCACCGGCGUCGUCCGCAAAGGGAAGGCCGCCGCUAAAUCGCCGAACGGCCGCCUACGGAAGCCGCGCGCGCCCAAGGGGAGCAGCACUCUGGCGGGACCCAAGAAAGUCCCCGGCAGGAAACCCGCCGCCGACAAACCGGCGGCCACGAAUCCCAGCGCCCAAGGCAACGACCAGCCAAAGACCGUCUCGCCUCCAAGCAGCGGCAGGAAGAGGAGGAACGCCGCCCCGGCCGCGGCCUCGCCAUCGCCGACGCCGAGCAGCGCCACACGGUGCAGCCUUGUCGCCAGGAUGAACGACAGCAACAGCACUCCCGGCACGGCGGCGGCGCCGCCAGAAAAGAGGCACACGGUCCUGACAUGGCUGAUCGACGCCGGCGUGCUGCAGGAGAAAGAGCAGGUCUUCUACGUGCCGGGGCCGGAGGACAAGGCGAGCAUCAACGCGAAGGUCGUGUCCGGCGCGGUGACCAGAACGGGCAUCCAGUGCAGCUGCUGCGACGGCGCGACGGCGAUGGCGCUCCCGGCCUUCGCGUCGCACGCCGGCUGCGCGGACGCGUCCCCGGCGCCGUGGGAGAGGCUGCUGCUGAUGUCCGGCAAGCCGCUGCUGCGGUGCCUGCGGGAGGCGUGGGAUCUGGAGCGCGUGAAGAUCUUCCGCGCGGAGGAGCAGGCGCGGGCGGCGCUGGAGCAGGACCGGGAGCGGAGCGCGCAGGCGAAGAAGCGGUCGCUGCAGCUGCUCGCCAAGCAGGGGAGGAAGGGAGGAGCCCGUGCCCUCGCCGUCGACGGCGGCGGCGACCGGAGCGACGACGCGUGCGGCGUGUGCGCGGACGGCGGGCAGCUGCUGUGCUGCGACAGCUGCCCGUCGACCUUCCACCCGGAGUGCGUCGCCGUGCAGGGCGUCCCCGACGGCUCCUGGGCCUGCCACUACUGCCGCUGCUUCCUCUGCUCUGCCAGCGACGGCGCCCCCUCCACCUGUCACCAGUGCGCUCGCAAGUAUCACAACCACUGCCGCACGUCGCUGUUCGCCGGGCACGAGAUCGGGCCAUUCUGCAGCGAAUCCUGCAACAAGGUGGAAACGGUCGCUGAAACAUCCAUUUUUUGCUUUCAGCAACACUCUUUUAAUUGCGGCGAAGCUGACGGAGAUGGCGGGGGUGACGAACAGGGCAGAUGA